GCAGUGGAGGCUUAGUGGUAGAAUCCUCCUCUUCCAUGGGGGAAGCCUGGGUUCGAUUCCCAACUGAUGCG
rnacentral:tRNA from 1 species